UCUUCCCUGACCGAUGGAUAAUAAAAGAGUCACCCGCGUAAGUUUAUAAUUUAUUCUUCAAACAUCAACACUUCAUUGGUAAGGAAAAGACAGUAAAAAUGCACAUGAAUUAGAGCUCGCAUUAUUUAAUAAUUAAAAAUUAAUUGUCGGCAAUACAUGACUCUGAAAUAUCUGUUGAACGUUGUUGAUCGAUGCACAAUAAAUCAAAACUUACCGACAAGUUGCGCCUCCACCGGCCGUGUUUCCAAGCAGGACUCGGGUCGGUGGUUCCAUUCACUGACGCUGACGUCACUGAAAGCCACCGAGGUCCCGGUAAAACGUGUGCAGAAACGACCGUUAGCCGGUAGCAUCCGCAAAACUCGAUCCUCUCCGGCAGGAUCUGGCAUCUGAUUGCGUCACGCGCCGAUACAAGCGAACGGAUACACGGACUCUCGUCUCGAAGUCUGGCAGUCCUUGACGCAGGCCUCGAUCCCGGCGAAAGAUGAGCAAACUCGAGAUCCGUGAGAGAUUCGCCGUACUUCCUCGAAGAAACGACUUCUCCGACCAGUUUGCUCUCGGAGAACGCCAAUCGAUAUAAGACUGCGAAUACGUGAAUUUUCUUCCUGUUAAGGAACUCCAUAUCAGGUCAUCGUUGAUCGAUCGUAUUUCCGUAUAUCGUAGUUCAAUAGGUCCGUCUUUGAACCUGUCAAAUCGUUGCACCUCAUUUUCGCGUGAGAUGGGGUUUUGAUUGGUCUAAAAUAAGUAUAUAUAUGGAUGAUGCAUUGAAUAGUUUAGGAAUGAUUUUUAUGAGUUUCUCGAGGAAAUGAUCAUUGGAUUGACAAUUAUGCGAAUGCUCAUCUUGUGGAGGUGGCGUAGUUGCGACUGAAGGCGUUAUUGAAAAUAUAGGGAAGAUUAAAUGCAUUCCUAGUUUCUUACAAUGAAUAACGCAAUCUGAUAUGCAAGAUAGCAAGCAAGAUUUCAAAAGCUGUUGCAAACAUAGUGCACGUUUAAUCGCGAUUAUCUUAUUGGUAAUUAUACCGGCAUUACUUCGAUAUGGCGUGCAAAAUUGUCGCAAGAACAUUGUCCAUUUAUUGCCAGUAAUAUAAAUCGCGUUAAUAAAAGUUCUAUUUAAAUGCUUGUUCUCGUCGAUUCUGUACGCUUCGUCGUGAUAGCCCUUUUUGUCUUGAAUUACAAAUUCCCUCGUGUAGAACAGCGUGCCAUAUCCGGCGAUGGUGCUGCAGUGUGCAUUUGUAAUAAUGAUUCUAUCUUUAUCGUUCUUGCGUGGAAUCGUGCGAUUUCUGCGCAAAGACAUCUGACACCAUUCCAUGCGCUUUUCGUACCGCUGAUGUCAAAAUAGGUUAUCGAUACUGUAGACUGUAAGAUUGUAAAAGUAUUUGAACAUUGGUAGAGACUUUUCAUGAAUAUGGAAACUGUAAGAGAAGAAUGCAAUAACUUUUUUAUGGAGAAGCAAUUCUAAAAUUCAGCAACUUUGGAGCUAAAUUUUUAUCUUUUCCAAAUUUUCAAAAUAUGUAUAUAUAUAUAUUUAUUAAAUAUUAAAU